GUGAAGGAGGCAGCCUGAAGUCUGGUCCGAGUGGACUUCCUUUAGUUCUGUAGAGUUUUGUGUUCAAACUUUAAGAAGGUGUGUUUGUAAAUAACAGAACUUUAACCGGAAGUGUUAAUAAACUGUGAUAUUGAACUGGCUGCUCGAUAAACCAGCGCGAGAGGGAUUUAAAACCAUGGAUGGACUGCAGCUGCUGCUAACCCAGCUCGACCCAGUACCCUCGUUUGGACUGUUUUGGACCUGGAACCUGGGAAUGCUCACAGUUCCUCUGGCAAUGUUGGACUACCUCUGGACCUGGUGAUUCUGUACCCUCACUUUCAUCUUGUAAGGGAGACCUGUGGACUGGAGAACUUCUCUGUGGACCUCGCAUCUCUAAAGCUCCAACAACUCCUCAUUAAAGUGACAUCACUCCAGGACAUCACACACAUGUAGCUGAACACCUGCUAACAGACUCUGAUGUGUGAAAUAAUGAAGUUCCCCAAAAAGACUGACACAGAGGAGUAAGUGUACAGAUAGUGGACGAGAGGAAUCAUGAAAUACAACAUGCCAUCACAGAUUAACUCUUUCAACUUCAACAUUUAGGCCAAGCAAGGCCCUUCAGUCACCAGCAGCCCACUCCUGUAACAUCUGGGCUGCUGUGCACCCACUACCAGAGCCUGCAGGGAACAGGAGCGAUGACAACACCAGAUCGUAGCUGGUGGCUUCAUACAAAAUUAGAAUCCCCUGUCAGAAAACAUCAGAUCUCGUUCCAGAGUAAUUUAAGGGGCCAUUUAAAUGUUCUGGCUGUCUUUAAGGCAUUUCUGCUUCAUUAGAUACUUUACUGAAGAGCACUGCAGCAGAGAGAGAGGAAACAAAAGAGAGAUGACAGGACACAAAGGUCUUGACGUGCGCACUGGAAGCUUCAUCGCACGACAAAUGACUGUUGUUUGAAACUCUACAAGAAGAUAUUUUUAGGCCAGAACCAAUAUGCAAACUUUUAUUUCCCUUUUGUCCUUGCAGCAUGCUCGUGUCAGCCUGAAAGCAGGUUGAUUAUAUUUCCAUCCUGUGUGUACUCGAUCCUCCCUCACCGCAGCUCCGCUCUGUGUUCUUCCAGUACAAGCAUAAUAGUUUGUUUUUUCCAUAAUUCAUGACUUGCUUGAAUUGUAUUGAGGUUUUCAUGAACUCAGAUACUUGAAUGAAGCAGCUGUUAAAUUUUUAAGCCCAGGGCUCACACUGAAUAAAAUCAUUCUCGCUCUGUCA